rnacentral:rRNA from 1 species
AUACGGAGGGUGCAAGCGUUACUCGGAAUCACGGGGCGUAAAGCGCGCGCAGGCGGGCUGAUAAGUUGGAUGUGAAAGCCUACGGCUCAACCGUAGAACUGCAUCCAAAACUGUUAGUCUAGAGUGUGGGAGAGGAAGAUGGAAUUAGUUGUGUAGGGGUAAAAUCCGUAGAGAUAACUAGGAAUACCAAAAGCGAAGGCAAUCUUCUGGAACACUACUGACGCUGAGGCGCGAAGGCGUGGGGAGCAAACAGGAUUAGAUACCCUAGUAGUCC